rnacentral:rRNA from 1 species
AUGGCGCCCUCCACCACCACCGGUGCUGUCCCAGUCCCACGAUGUCCUGUUAUCUUCAACGGACAGAACUACAGGGACUGGGUGCAGCACAUGAAGCUGCACAUGAGGGGCCAGCUGGUCUGGGAGCACCUCUCUGGUGCUCUGCCUUGUCCCCUGCUGCCCACUCCUCCAGCUGAGUUGGCCUUCCCUGUUGAUGCCGAUGAAACCAAGCAACGUGAGAUGCUAGAUGCUUUUGAAGAGGCCACUGAAGAGUAUCAGAAUCAACUCCACUUAUACAAGCAAUGGACAAAUGAUGAUGCUCGAGCCUCUUCUAUCUUGGUGAACAGCAUGGAUGUUGAUCUCACCAUGGAUGUGGUGGCCCUUACCACUGCAUAUCAGAUGUGGGAGCACCUUCGCCAUCGCUAUGAGUCUACAGGGGAUGCCAUGUAUCUCUCUGUUGUUCGUCAAGAGCAACAACUACAACAGGGAGAUGCUACUGUGGAUGAUUUCUACAAGGAGAUGUCGGCGGUGUGGCGCCAAUUGGACUCUCUGGGAGCUGAUGUUUGUCGCAGAUGUCAGUGUUGUGUGCGGCAACAAGCUAAGCUGGAGGUUCGUCGCCUCUACGACUUCCUCACUCGCCUCCGGCCGGAGUUCGAGCAGAGUCGUGCUCAGCUAUUGGCACGCCAUCCUCGGCUCUCUACUCUGGAGGCCCUUGCUGAGGUGCGAUCUGAGGAGGUGCGCCUACGGAGCACGGGCUUAUUGCCAUCCUCUUCAGCAGUCCUGGCUGCCCGCGUUCCACCACCGCUGCCUGGUGUGCCCUCUUCUACACAGGUGGCAGCAACCUCCACUAGUGCUUUCUGCAACUACUGCAAGCAGGAUGGUCACAUGAUCACGGAGUGCAUCAAGAGGAGGAAACAGGGUCGCCGUGGUGGCCGUCGUCAAAAGGACUCGGGAGGCUCCUCUAAUUCUCGUGAGGGCUCCCUUGAGAAGGUUCACCAGGAGAUGCUCACCUUGCUGCGCCGCCUUACUGCUUCUGCACCAUCCUCAGGUUCUGCUGGUUCUGCUGGUCAGACGUCUGGUCCACCACCGCACUCUUCGUCAGGAUCGUCGUACGGGGACUCUGGUUGGGAUCGGUCCUCGGCGCCAUGA